rnacentral:lncRNA from 1 species
GGAUGGGGAGCUUGAGGAGGUAGUCGCCGCCGGCGGGGAGGAGGUCCUUGACGAGCUGGAGCGGGAAGAGCUUGCGCAUGUCCUCGAGCGCCUGGAUCUUGGGCAGCUUGAUGCCGCCCUCGUAUAGGUUGAUGAUGUCCUGGAACGAGUCGAACUCGCCGGGGGUGGUGUCCACGUACGUGCGCACCGCCGGCACGAUCCCCUGCGUGAUGGCCUUGAUCGCGUACCCCAGGAAGUCCGACAUCUUGAGGUGCCCGAAGCGCUCGUCACGGGGCACGUAGAUCUGCUCCACCAGCGACAGCCGGCUCUCCGAGUUGGGGUCUGCGGCCAAAGUCAACGUCAGUCAACCCAACCCUGCAGCUAGUACUCUCUCUGACAGUGGGUCCACCUGGCGUCUGGAUGGACCCACGUGUCAUUGGAAGUAGUAAUAUGUCGCCGAAAACAAAUAAAUAAUCAAGCGCGCGCGCACCGGUGGUGGUGGGCUUGCGGCCGGUUCGGCACCGGCGAGGGUAGGGGUGGUCGUCCGAGCCGCCGAGGACGGGGCGCGGGUUGCCACGGUCGGGCUCGCCGAGGUCGUUGUAGACGUCGUAGCGGUAGACGC